UAGGGAGUAGUAUAAUUGGAAGUACAAAGAGUUUUGAUCUCUUGGGAAUAGGUUCAAAUCCUGUCUUUCUAG
rnacentral:tRNA from 1 species